UCGCUCAGGAUGAACGCUGGCGGCGUGCCUAAUACAUGCAAGUCGAGCGAACGGACGAGAAGCUUGCUUCUCUGAUGUUAGCGGCGGACGGGUGAGUAACACGUGGAUAACCUACCUAUAAGACUGGGAUAACUUCGGGAAACCGGAGCUAAUACCGGAUAAUAUUUUGAACCGCAUGGUUCAAAAGUGAAAGACGGUCUUGCUGUCACUUAUAGAUGGAUCCGCGCUGCAUUAGCUAGUUGGUAAGGUAACGGCUUACCAAGGCAACGAUGCAUAGCCGACCUGAGAGGGUGAUCGGCCACACUGGAACUGAGACACGGUCCAGACUCCUACGGGAGGCAGCAGUAGGGAAUCUUCCGCAAUGGGCGAAAGCCUGACGGAGCAACGCCGCGUGAGUGAUGAAGGUCUUCGGAUCGUAAAACUCUGUUAUUAGGGAAGAACAUAUGUGUAAGUAACUGUGCACAUCUUGACGGUACCUAAUCAGAAAGCCACGGCUAACUACGUGCCAGCAGCCGCGGUAAUACGUAGGUGGCAAGCGUUAUCCGGAAUUAUUGGGCGUAAAGCGCGCGUAGGCGGUUUUUUAAGUCUGAUGUGAAAGCCCACGGCUCAACCGUGGAGGGUCAUUGGAAACUGGAAAACUUGAGUGCAGAAGAGGAAAGUGGAAUUCCAUGUGUAGCGGUGAAAUGCGCAGAGAUAUGGAGGAACACCAGUGGCGAAGGCGACUUUCUGGUCUGUAACUGACGCUGA
rnacentral:rRNA from 1 species